rnacentral:sRNA from 1 species
AGGCGCACACCACCAUGCCCGGCUAAUUUUUUUUUUUUUGUAUUUUUAGUAGAGACAGGGUUUCACCAUGUUGGCCAGGCUGGUUGGCCAGGCUGGUCUUGAACUUCUCACCUCAGGUGAUCCGCCCUUCUCUGCCUCCCAAAGCACUGGGAUUACAGGCAUGAGCCACCAUACCCAGCCAACUUUUAAGAAUCUUUUUAAGAUUUUGUAGCAUACCAAAAGAGUUCUUUAUAUAUUCUGGAUACAAGUCUCAGACAUAAUGAUUUGCAAAUAUUUUUUCUUCCAUUCUGCGAGUUUUAACUUUUUUGAUAGCAUCUUUUGAACAAAAAGUGCUAACUUUUUAUGAAGCUAAAUUUGUCUAUUUUUUUCUUUUACCACUUAUGUUUUUGUUGUCAUGAAGAUUUAUUCCUGUUUUCUCUUCUACAAGUUGUGUGGCUUUAAUUCUUACAUUUAGGCCUACAAGCCAUUUUGAGCUAAGUUUGUAUAUGCUAUGAGGUGUCAUUGCCCUCAUGGUUAGAGCCCAGAAAGCAAGAGAGAAAGCCUUCUCCAGCCUGACCUGAGCCCUCCCUCUUCUGUUCCUGACUCUCAUCCGGCAGUAGCUUCGCUCACUGAUCAUGGUUGGAGCCCUUCUGAGCUCUGGGGAAGGAUGGACAGAAAGAAGAGUAUCCCCUGGUUCCCCUGAGUUAUCAAGCCCCUGCGGGAGGCCGUUGGGAGGGACAUGAGGCAGAUUAGCACAGGGCAUCUGGAGCCAGCAAAGCAGUUUUAGAGCAGGAGCCUGCUUUGGGGAUGCUUGAAGGUGGGCACUCGGGUCAGGCUGCUGGCUCAGGCCCAGCUGGUCUUGCAGCAAAGCCGCCGCAGGGAAGAUGAACCUGUACGAGUCAUUUGCCCAGGCUACCCAGCUGGGCGAUCUGCAUACCUGCCUGAUGAUGGACAUGAAGGCCUGCCAGGAGGACGAUGUGCGGCUCCUGUGCCACCUCACACCCUCCAUCUACACAGAGUUUCCAGAUGAAACCUUGAGGAGCGGAGAGCUGCUGAACAUGAUCGUGGCUGUUAUUGACUCUGCACAGCUCCAGGAGCUGGUCUGCCACGUGAUGAUGGGUAACCUGGUUAUGUUUCGAAAAGACUCAGUUCUCAACAUACUCAUUCAGAGCCUAGACUGGGAGACCUUUGAGCAGUAUUGUGCCUGGCAGCUCUUUCUGGCCCACAAUAUUCCCCUGGAGACCAUAAUCCCCAUCCUGCAGCACCUCAAAUACAAGGAGCACCCAGAGGCCCUGUCCUGCCUACUGCUUCAACUCCGAAGAGAAAAGCCCAGCGAGGAGAUGGUGAAGAUGGUGCUGAGCCGGCCCUGCCAUCCUGAUGACCAGUUCACCACCAGCAUCCUGCGGCACUGGUGCAUGAAACAUGACGAGCUGCUGGCCGAGCACAUCAAGUCCCUGCUCAUCAAGAACAACAGCCUGCCUCGCAAGAGACAGAGCCUGAGGAGCUCUAGCAGCAAGCUGGCCCAGCUGACUCUGGAGCAGAUCCUGGAGCACUUGGACAACCUGCGGCUCAACCUGACCAACACCAAGCAGAACUGUAUGCCUUCCACCCUCAGCGUCCAGUGUAGACGAUGCUGCCCUGGCCCAGACUACGCCUGGAGCCAGGCUGGGGGCAGGGGCAGGACACCCGGGGCCACAACCCAUGCUCAGGAUAAAACAACCUGUGGGUGCUGUUUAAUAAGCUCCCAAACAUCUGAUUGUUUUUCCUUCCCUGCUCUCCCUUUUCUUCCUCUAGUUUUUAGCCAGACCCCAAUUCUCCAGGCGCUGCAGCAUGUCCAGGCGAGCUGUGACGAAGCCCACAAGAUGAAAUUCAGUGAUCUCUUCUCCCUGGCGGAGGAAUAUGAGGACUCUUCCACCAAGCCACCCAAGAGCCGGCGAAAAGCAGCUCUGUCCAGCCCUCGAAGUCGAAAGAAUGCCACACAGCCUCCCAAUGCCGAAGAAGAGUCGGGCUCCAGCAGUGCUUCAGAAGAGGAAGACACGAAACCGAAGCCUACCAAGCGGAAACGAAAAGGGUCCUCUGCAGUGGGCUCUGACAGUGACUGAGGCCCUGCAUUCCCCAUCCCACCCCCAGCUGGACUGCCCUCUCCUUCUUGGUGAUUCAAAGGUUAAUAGAGGCUGAGGAGAUUGCAGGGGAAACACCCUUGCUGCAUCCCCAAGCUCCCCCGGUGGAAGGAGGAGCUUUCUCCUGUGGCUGAGUUUGAGAAGCUGCCAUGCAGCCCUAGCCCCUUCCCUCCUCCUGGGGCCUCCAGCCCCUCACACUGCUGUUCCCAGUGAUAUUUGGGAUCUGACUGAAGCCAGAGGCUCUGUAAAAUCAGACCAUAGUGGAAGUCCUCAGCCCCCUGGCCUCUUCCCCAGUCUCUUCCCCCAGUCUCCCAAAGAGCCAUUUCAACAGAGAAGGGAAAUGACAAAGGGGCAGCUGGCCAGAUAAGCUAGGAUGAGAGCAGAGACUCAGUGUGUGGGUGUCCCUUCCCGCUUCCCCUUCGGGUCUUGGUUUGUUCUGAAGGGGCGUUUUAUAAUCACUAUCCACAUGCCAGUGUGAAAUGGGCAUCUAUGACGUGGUCAGGGUGUCCAUUCCUAAUCAUGGGGCAGAUGCCACAAGUAUUCAGAAAGGAGUCUGAAAGGGUGGCCACAGCCCCACGUGGUGUGCCCUGGAGGCUUAGGUUGGCCUGAGGUUGGCACCUCAACCUACACCAGAGCCCAGGGAGUCCCAGAGGCAAGUUUCACAGAAUUGUCAUAUGAUCCCAUUUCCUUGAGUCUUUUUUUUUUUUUUUUUUUGGCAGAGAUAAUCGUGUCUUAAAAGUUGUUUUUAAAUGACAAUAAAACAAGCCACAAUGUC